UACGACUACAUAUCAGGCAUAUCAAUAAGCGGAGGAAAAGAAACUAACUAGGAUUCCCUUCAGUAACGGCGAGUGAAGCGGGAAGAGCUCAAAUUUGAAAUCUUCAAGGUUUUACCUUGACGAAUUGUAGUUUAAAGAAGUGUUUUCUGUUGAGUUUUGGUAAAAGUUCUUUGGAAUAGGACAUCAUAGAGGGUGAGAAUCCCGUAUUUGACCAUUAUUUUCAGCUGUGUGAUACACUUUCAAAGAGUCGGAUUGUUUGGGAAUGCAGUCCAAAAUGGGUGGUAAAUUUCAUCUAAAGCUAAAUAUUGGCGAGAGACCGAUAGCGAACAAGUACCGUGAGGGAAAGAUGAAAAGAACUUUGAAAAGAGAGUUAAACAGUACGUGAAAUUGUCAAAAGGGAAGCGUUUGACACCAGUGUUGUUUUCUCGAAAAUCAAUUAAAAAAAGUUGGAUUUUGUGUUGUAUUGAGCUUAACAGCUUGCUUCACUCUUUUCCAGCUUUUUUUAAUGCACUUUUCGUUUAACAAGUCAACAUCAGUUUCUUUUGUUGUAAAAGGGUCAUUGGAAGGUGGCUUUCUCUUCGGAGAAAGUGUUUAUAGCCUUUGAUCUCUGCAAUCGGAGAGACUGAGGUCUGCAGCGUAGAUCCUUCGGGGUUAGAUACAUUUGUGCUAAGCUACAGCUUUUCAUAGACAACUUGUUGACUAUGUUUAGUCUUGUAACUUACCCGCUUAUGCUAUUUUACCUACGCUUAGGAUGUUGAGCGCAUGUCUCUCUCU
rnacentral:rRNA from 1 species